GACGAACGCUGGCGGCGUGCUUAACACAUGCAAGUCGAACGGAAAGGCCCUGCUUUUGUGGGGUGCUCGAGUGGCGAACGGGUGAGUAACACGUGAGUAACCUGCCCUUGACUUUGGGAUAACCUCAGGAAACUGGGGCUAAUACCGGAUAGGAGCUCCUGCUGCAUGGUGGGGGUUGGAAAGUUUCGGCGGUUGGGGAUGGACUCGCGGCUUAUCAGCUUGUUGGUGGGGUAGUGGCUUACCAAGGCUUUGACGGGUAGCCGGCCUGAGAGGGUGACCGGCCACAUUGGGACUGAGAUACGGCCCAGACCCCUACGGGAGGCAGCAGUGGGGAAUAUUGCACAAUGGGCGGAAGCCUGAUGCAGCAACGCCGCGUGCGGGAUGACGGCCUUCGGGUUGUAAACCGCUUUCGCCUGUGACGAAGCGUGAGUGACGGUAAUGGGUAAAGAAGCACCGGCUAACUACGUG
rnacentral:rRNA from 1 species